rnacentral:RNase_P_RNA from 1 species
CAGCGGGGAGGCUCUACCGCUGCCCCGAAGAAGUGGCCCUCGCGGGUCAAACCUUUCAGGGGGAGAGGAAAGUCCGGGCAACGCAGAGCGCCGUCCUUCCUAACCGAAGACGUCCGUGAGGGUGUAGAAGCGUAACAGAGAACGACCGCCCGCAAGGGUAAGGGUGAAAAGGUGGGGUAAGAGCCCACCGCGGAGGUGGCGACACGCUCCGGCAGUACGCCUGACGGGUUGCAAGACCGUGUAUAUCGACGCUAUCAGGGUUGCUCGCCCGAGUCGAGGGGUAGGUUGCUGAUAAGCGUGCGGGUGACCGUAUCGCUCAGAUAAAUGGUAGAGGCCCGGCUCGUCCGGGUACAGAACCCGGCUUAUACGCCCCGCUGUCCU